GUACUUGUUACAGCAGCACAUAUCUAAAACUGGAAAGAUACAGAGAAAAUUAGCAUGGCCCCUGCGCAAGGACGACAUGCAAAUUUGUGAAGCGUUCUGUUUUGUU